rnacentral:piRNA from 1 species
UGACCAAAACGACUGGUGUUAUCCGUAA